UGGAGAGUUUGAUCCUGGCUCAGGAUGAACGCUGGCGGCGUGCCUAAUACAUGCAAGUCGAGCGAAUGGAUUGAGAGCUUGCUCUCAAGAAGUUAGCGGCGGACGGGUGAGUAACACGUGGGUAACCUGCCCAUAAGACUGGGAUAACUCCGGGAAACCGGGGCUAAUACCGGAUAACAUUUUGAACUGCAUGGUUCGAAAUUGAAAGGCGGCUUCGGCUGUCACUUAUGGAUGGACCCGCGUCGCAUUAGCUAGUUGGUGAGGUAACGGCUCACCAAGGCAACGAUGCGUAGCCGACCUGAGAGGGUGAUCGGCCACACUGGGACUGAGACACGGCCCAGACUCCUACGGGAGGCAGCAGUAGGGAAUCUUCCGCAAUGGACGAAAGUCUGACGGAGCAACGCCGCGUGAGUGAUGAAGGCUUUCGGGUCGUAAAACUCUGUUGUUAGGGAAGAACAAGUGCUAGUUGAAUAAGCUGGCACCUUGACGGUACCUAACCAGAAAGCCACGGCUAACUACGUGCCAGCAGCCGCGGUA
rnacentral:rRNA from 1 species